rnacentral:misc_RNA from 1 species
GAUGAAGAACGCAGCGAAAUGCAAUAAGUAAUGUGAAUUGCAGAAUCCAGUGAAUCAUCGAAUCUUUGAACGCACAUUGCGCCCGCCAGCAUUCUGGCGGGCAUGCCUGUUCGAGCGUCAUUUCAACCCUCGACCUCCCCUUGGGGAGGUCGGCGUUGGGGACCGGCAGCACACCGCCGGCCCUGAAAUGGAGUGGCGGCCCGUCUGCGGCGACCUCUGCGUAGUAAUACAGCUCGCACCGGAACCCCGACGCGGCCACGCCGUAAAACACCCAACUUCUGAACGUUGACCUCGAAUCAGGUAGGACUACCCGCUGAACUUAAGCAUAUCAAUAAGCGGAGGA